rnacentral:rRNA from 1 species
UACGUAGGAUGCUAGCGUUGUCCGGAUUUACUGGGCGUAAAGCGCGCGCAGGCGGCACUGUAAGUAAGGUGUGAAAUCUCCCUGCUCAACGGGGAGGGUGCACUUUAGACUGCAGAGCUAGAGGACGGUAGGGGGGACUGGAACUCUCGGUGGAGCGGUGAAAUGCGUAGAUAUCGAGAGGAACACCGGCGGCGAAGGCGAGUCCCUGGUCCGUUUCUGACGCUGAGGCGCGAAAGCGUGGGUAGCAAACAGG